rnacentral:rRNA from 1 species
UACGUAGGGUGCGAGCGUUGUCCGGAAUUAUUGGGCGUAAAGAGCUUGUAGGCGAUUUUAUAAGUCUUGUGUGAAAGCCCCGUGCUUAACGCGGGAAGUGCAUAAGAUACUGUAGGAAUUGAGUUCCGGAGAGGAAGAUGGAAUUCCCGGUGUAGCGGUGAAAUGCGUAGAUAUCAGGAGGAACACCGGUGGCGAAGGCGGUUCUCUGGGCAUUACCUGACGCUGAGGAGCGAAAGUGUGGGGAGCGAACAGG